rnacentral:lncRNA from 1 species
UGGUGGCACAGUGUGUAAAUCUCAGCACUCAGGAGGCAAAAGGAGGAGGGCCAGUAGUUCAAGAUUAAGUCUGAAGCUAGCCUGGAAUACAUCUCUCUUUAAAAUGACCUACAAACCACUAAAGAAUAGAUAAAAACAUGUGCAAGUGCCCUGUGUAGAUGCCUAGAGCCCACAGAGGUCAAAAGGGGGCUCUGGUUUCUCUGGAACUGGGGUUACUGCUAGUUGUAAGCUGCGACAUGGGUGCCAAGAACCAAACCCAGGUCAUUUGCAAGAGUGGCUAGUGCUGUUAACUGCUGAACCAUCUCUCCAGCCCCAUCAUGUAAUAAAAGUAUUUAAUGAAGACUUAUGUACUGGGGUUACAAAGAGGAUAGAAGAUAACUCCUGCAAUUCAGGAGAAGAAAAGGACACAAAGGUAAUAUUGGUUUUUAUGAAAUUUAAAAAUAUUUAUUAUAGCUUUUUAUUAAUCUGUGUGUGUGCACAUCCAAGUGCUUCUGCAUGGCACAUCAGGACAUGUGGAAACUGGUUCAUGCCUCCCACAUUAUUGAGACAGUGUCUUGCACUGCAGCACGGCAUCUUCCAGCCCAUUUGGGUUAUACUAGCGUGAUUCUCCUCUCGACUUGCCAUUUCCAUGUAGGAGUGAUGGGAUUACAGAUGCCCACCACCACAUAUGGCUUUUUAAGUUGGUUCCAGGAUUGAACUUGGGUCAAUCCUUUCAUAGCUAUUACUUUUGUGUGUUGGGCCAUCUUCUUCUCCGCAAUAUAUAUAUCAUGGAGAAAUGAAUUUAAAUUCCAUUUUUUUAAACAUAAAGUAAUUUCUAAAUUUAAACUCUGUAUGGACAAAGACAUUCACUUAUAUCCCAGUAUAAUCAAAUCUAAACUAAGAACAAAUCACAUUUAAACAUUGUUAUUUCUUUGCAAUAAUUAUUAUGUCCUAAAAAAAAAGAGCCCGCUAUGAGUUAAUUUUACUUAAAUAGAACAUUGCUCAGCAUAUAAAUGAAGGUCAGCAGACACUAGUGUCUUGGAAUAAAAUAUCCCUUUGGCUAGAAAAUGUGCCACACCCAAUUUUGUUUUUACAAAAAUAAAAUUCUUUCCAGCUUCACUAAAUUGGAGAGAUGCUGUGUACAACGACAGUAGUAGUUGGCUCUGCAACUUUGGAAAUAUCCAAGUAUCCCUGUGUACAGAAGCCCUUAGAAAAGCUGAGUUACACAAGCAGUACUUGGGCCUUCUGUCGCUCCUGUUCGCUUAGGUUUUAUCUAAACUGUGUAUAAAGUACAACUAACUCAUACAGCUGAUGGCUUUCAUUUCAUAACUUAUACUUCAUGAUUUUCACAAACCUUAAAGUGGGUAGGAGCAUCUGGGAUUUCAGGUAUGACAGUCACUCCCUCUGGAAGCCAGGAAUCAAAGUAAUGCAUAUGGCUUUCUUAAAAGGCAGUGAGAACUUCCUGCCAGUGGAUGGACUACCACAGGCAGGGAUUGAGAAAAAUCUCUGUUCUGGUUCCUUCCUUCAUGCCUGACACACAGCAGGACCCAUUUACAGCAUUUCCUCUAUAUUCACAAGGAAUGCACUUCAGGAACUCUCUCGGGAUGCAGAAGCCCCUUAUAGGAAUUAUUAUUAUGCACAUUCUUCAUGCAUUUUGCGAGUGGAGGUGAAAACUGAAUCAAAAGCCUCUCACAUUUUAAACUUACCACUGAGCUACACUCUCCCACAUAGAUGAUUAAAUCAUCCUUCGGUUGCAUGCUCACCUGUAUUGCUUAGAGAAUUAGGACAAGAAAAUAUUCUAUGCAUGUCCAAUACAGACAUGGGUCUUUCUUAAUAUUUUUCACCUGGUGCUGCUUGAACCCACGUGGAGCAUAUAGCUAUAGAGGACCCAUUGAGUUGGGGAAAAAGAAAUGAUCUUGAAUUUUCUUGCUGAUAAGCAUGAAGCUGAGGUCUGGAGAUAUGGCUCAGUGGUUUGUACUGGGCAUAAGUAAGGUCAUAGAUUUGAUCCCCAACAGAAGGGGGGGCAGGGAAGGAGGAAGAAGAAAGGAUAGGGUGAAAAGAAAGAAGGAAGGAAAGAAAUAAUGUAAAGGUGGUGUGGGAGACCACCAAGUUGAAGGAACCCGAAUUAGCAGACCAUUGAUUUAUGACACCUGGACUUCAUUCGAAGACACUAAUCACAUGGUGUUCUUGCAUGCACUUACUUUUUAACUAUUUUCUUUACUAGAACUCUUAUUAGCAUAAGUUUGUUGUACAACAUGAAAGAAUUCAUCUGGAAAUUUACAUGCAAAUACACAAUGUACUUUGGCCAUUACUCCAUUCCCCUCUCUCUGCCUUGGCCUCUAGGCCUCCCACGGGUCUGUUUGCUUUUUCCAAAAAGGCUUUUGAGAUUCACAUCCUAUGUGUGUGGCAUGUGCCAGCGUUCUGUGUGGUAAAGAUUCUGCAUGUGAAAGAACAUGCAGAAUAUCUGUUCUUUUGAAUGUGGCUUAUUUCAUUUGAUAUGAUCCCUAGUUCCAUAAUAUUUUUUUCCUGCAAAUGACACAAUUUUAUUCAUCUUUGUGGCUGGAAAAGAACAUCACUGUGGACAUAGUUCACAGAACUAGAAAAAAAAAGUCCUAAAAUUCAUAUGAACAUGCAAGGCACCAUGUGUUCCAAAGCAGUGCUAAGCAGAGAGAAUCCUGCAAGAAAAGAUCAAAAUUACUUGACUUCAAAUUGUACUACAGAGCUUUACU